UUAAUCCAACCUCAUCAACAACUCUUAAAACUACGACCACGCCUUCCACCACAUCUAGUACGACAAAUUCGAUGAAAAUUACUACCUCGACGCCAACUUCUUUUUCAGGUGAUGGAGCUACGUGUAAUUUUGAUGGAUCCUUUUGUGGGUACUCGUUGUCUUCAGAUGAAGACAGAUUUAAAUGGCAACAGAUUGGAAGACAUAAAGGAUUACCAACUGAAGAUCACACAAUUGGCUCAAAAGGUUUUAACGGACAGUUCCUUACAGUCAAGUGGAGAAGUGGUACUGCUGGAAACCAGAAAGCAAUUAUAACAUCACCACGUAUUCCUCAGACAAAUGUUCCAUGCAGCAUAGGACUUUAUUAUUACAUGAACAGUGACAAAAUAUUAUUAACUGCUCAUGU